UGUGGAUAACUGUGGUAAUCCUAGAGCUAAUAGGGCGAACGAGUCCCGACCAGUUAUGCUGGGAAGGACGCUUUUAUUAGAUCAAGACCGAUCGCUCGGUUCGUCCGGGCGUUGCCUUGGUGACUCUAGGUAACACAUCAAAUCGCAUGGUCUCAGCACCGGCGACUUAUCCUUCAAAUGCCUGACUUAUCAACUGUCGAUGGUAGACUCUAUGUCUACCAUGGUUGUAACGGGUAACGGGGAAUCAGGGUUCGAUUCCGGAGAGGGAGCCUGAGAAACGGCUACCACAUCCAAGGAAGGCAGCAGGCACGCAAAUUACCCACUCCCGGCACGGGGAGGUAGUGACAAAAAAUAACGAUACGGGACUCUUAUGAGGCCCCGUAAUCGGAAUGAGUACACUUUAAAUCCUUUAACAAGGAUCCAUUGAAGGGCAAGUCUGGUGCCAGCAGCCGCGGUAAUUCCAGCUUCAAUAGCGUAUAUUAAAGUUGUUGCGGUUAAAAAGCUCGUAGUUGGUUCUGCGUGCUACGCUGUCGGUUCGCCGCCUGCCGGUGUAACUGGCAUGCCGUGGCAUGUCCUGUCGGUGGCGUGCGGGAGCCUUGUCUAGGUGACGGCCCUUGCCCUCAAGCUUGGGUCCGGAGGCCGGAGGUCCAACCCGUGCGCCUGCUCUCUCCUACCUAGGUGCUCUUCACCGAGUGUCGAGGUAGGCCGACACGUUUACUUUGAACAAAUUAGAGUGCUCAAAGCAGCUAAAAUCUCUGCCUGAAUAGUGGUGCAUGGAAUAAUAAAACAGGACCUUGGUUCUAUUUUGUUGGUUCUUAGGAACACAAGGUAAUGAUCAAUACGGACAGGCGGGGGCAUUCGUAUUGCGUCCUCCGAUGAGGCGGGGCCGGGAAACCAAAGCUUUUGGCUCUCGGGGGAAGUAUGGUUGCAAAGCUGAAACUUAAAGGAAUUUACGGAAGGGCACCACCAGGAGUGGAGCCUGCGGCUUAAUUUGACUCAACACGGGAAACCUCACCAGGUCAGGACAUUGUAAGGAUUGACAGAUUGAUAGCUCUUUCUUGAUUCAGUGGGUAGUGGUGCAUGGCCGUUCUUAGUUGGUGGAUCGAUUUGUCUGGUUAAUUCCGAUAACGAACGAGACUCUAGCCUAUUAACUAGACGGUCCCAGAGCCCUCGUCUUUGGCGAAAAUGACUCUUCUUAAGGGGACAGGCGGCUUAUAGUCGCACGAGAUUGAGCAAUAACAGGUCUGUGAUGCCCUUAGAUGUCCUGGGCCGCACGCGCGCUACAAUGAAAGAAUCAGCGUGUGUCUCCCAGCCCGAUAGGGCCGGGUAAUCCGCUGAACCUCUUUCGUGCUUGGGAUUGUGGCUUGCAAUUGUUCUUCAUGAACGAGGAAUUCCCAGUAAGCGCGAGUCAUAAGCUCGCGUUGAUUACGUCCCUGCCCUUUGUACACACCGCCCGUCGCUACUACCGAUUGAAUGAUUUAGUGAGGUCUUCGGACCGGCGGGAAAUCCCUAUCGCUUCGGCGGUAUCGACGAACGCUGGGAAGAUGACCAAACUUGAUCAUUUAGAGGAAGUAAAAGUCGUAACAAGGUUUCC
rnacentral:rRNA from 1 species